ACAGAACAAAAAAUCAGAAACGCCUCUCUUUCUCUCACGCGACGGUUUCCUCAUGCUUCUCCUUCUUCGCCGCGGCUCCGGGACCACGAGUUCCACCAGCUUCCCGCCGCCUGGUUCGAUCAGUGCGGAUUGUAUGUCGAUAGCAACGACGAGUCGUUACGCGUGACGCUCUACUCGUUCCUCGACGGAUUCGAGAACAGAGAGAUACCUAACGCGCUUUCAUCGAGAAGCAGAUCGCGAACCACCACGGAAAUAAAAACUUUAUUAUUGGAUGAUGUGUUGACCUUUGUGUGAUUUGGAUUGUUGUUGUUGUUGGCAGGUCCAGUUGGUAAGGAUCCAAAUGAGAGUGCAUGAGUAUGGCUGGACCACUCAGUAGGUCUUUCAUCUUAUGAACUUUGUCGUCAAUGGAGUUCUAUUUUGGAUUUCACCAUCAAGUGUUUCUCGUCCAUCCCAAGGCUCUUUGCUGGAUACUAUUGGAUCUUCUGGGUCUCCUCUUCUUCUCGGCAUACACACUGCUCGUGUUGUUCUGGGCAGAGAUAUAUCACCAGGCAAGU